rnacentral:piRNA from 1 species
UGCAAAUGGCAGAGUACUUGCCUUAGUACC